UUGAAGAGUUUGAUCAUGGCUCAGAUUGAACGCUGGCGGCAGGCCUAACACAUGCAAGUCGAACGGUAACAGGAAGCAGCUUGCUGCUUUGCUGACGAGUGGCGGACGGGUGAGUAAUGUCUGGGAAACUGCCUGAUGGAGGGGGAUAACUACUGGAAACGGUAGCUAAUACCGCAUAACGUCGCAAGACCAAAGAGGGGGACCUUCGGGCCUCUUGCCAUCGGAUGUGCCCAGAUGGGAUUAGCUAGUAGGUGGGGUAAAGGCUCACCUAGGCGACGAUCCCUAGCUGGUCUGAGAGGAUGACCAGCCACACUGGAACUGAGACACGGUCCAGACUCCUACGGGAGGCAGCAGUGGGGAAUAUUGCACAAUGGGCGCAAGCCUGAUGCAGCCAUGCCGCGUGUAUGAAGAAGGCCUUCGGGUUGUAAAGUACUUUCAGCGGGGAGGAAGGGAGUAAAGUUAAUACCUUUGCUCAUUGACGUUACCCGCAGAAGAAGCACCGGCUAACUCCGUGCCAGCAGCCGCGGUAAUACGGAGGGUGCAAGCGUUAAUCGGAAUUACUGGGCGUAAAGCGCACGCAGGCGGUUUGUUAAGUCAGAUGUGAAAUCCCCGGGCUCAACCUGGGAACUGCAUCUGAUACUGGCAAGCUUGAGUCUCGUAGAGGGGGGUAGAAUUCCAGGUGUAGCGGUGAAAUGCGUAGAGAUCUGGAGGAAUACCGGUGGCGAAGGCGGCCCCCUGGACGAAGACUGACGCUCAGGUGCGAAAGCGUGGGGAGCAAACAGGAUUAGAUACCCUGGUAGUCCACGCCGUAAACGAUGUCGACUUGGAGGUUGUGCCCUUGAGGCGUGGCUUCCGGAGCUAACGCGUUAAGUCGACCGCCUGGGGAGUACGGCCGCAAGGUUAAAACUCAAAUGAAUUGACGGGGGCCCGCACAAGCGGUGGAGCAUGUGGUUUAAUUCGAUGCAACGCGAAGAACCUUACCUGGUCUUGACAUCCACGGAAGUUUUCAGAGAUGAGAAUGUGCCUUCGGGAACCGUGAGACAGGUGCUGCAUGGCUGUCGUCAGCUCGUGUUGUGAAAUGUUGGGUUAAGUCCCGCAACGAGCGCAACCCUUAUCCUUUGUUGCCAGCGGUCCGGCCGGGAACUCAAAGGAGACUGCCAGUGAUAAACUGGAGGAAGGUGGGGAUGACGUCAAGUCAUCAUGGCCCUUACGACCAGGGCUACACACGUGCUACAAUGGCGCAUACAAAGAGAAGCGACCUCGCGAGAGCAAGCGGACCUCAUAAAGUGCGUCGUAGUCCGGAUUGGAGUCUGCAACUCGACUCCAUGAAGUCGGAAUCGCUAGUAAUCGUGGAUCAGAAUGCCACGGUGAAUACGUUCCCGGGCCUUGUACACACCGCCCGUCACACCAUGGGAGUGGGUUGCAAAAGAAGUAGGUAGCUUAACCUUCGGGAGGGCGCUUACCACUUUGUGAUUCAUGACUGGGGUGAAGUCGUAACAAGGUAACCGUAGGGGAACCUGCGGUUGGAUCACCUCCUU
rnacentral:rRNA from 1 species